rnacentral:rRNA from 1 species
AACACUUCAAGUAGGAAAUGACUUGAAGCUGACGGUACCUUGUCAGAAAGCGAUGGCUAACUAUGUGCCAGCAGCCGCGGUAAUACAUAGGUCGCAAGCGUUAUCCGGAAUUAUUGGGCGUAAAGCGUUCGUAGGCUGUUUAUUAAGUCUGGAGUCAAAUCCCAGGGCUCAACCCUGGCUCGCUUUGGAUACUGGUAAACUAGAGUUGGAUAGAGGUAAGCGGAAUUCCAUGUGAAGCGGUGAAAUGCGUAGAUAUAUGGAAGAACACCAAAGGCGAAGGCAGCUUACUGGGUCUAUACUGACGCUGAGGGACGAAAGCGUGGGGAGCAAACAGGACUAGAUACCCUGGUAGUCCACGCCGUAAACGAUGAUCAUUAGUCGGUGGAAUGGUUCACUGACGCAGCUAACGCAUUAAAUGAUCCGCCUGAGUAGUAUGCUCGCAAGAGUGAAACUUAAAGGAAUUGACGGGGACCCGCACAAGCGGUGGAGCAUGUGGUUUAAUUUGAAGAUACACGGAGAACCUUACCCACUCUUGACAUCUUCUGCAAAGCUAUAGAGAUAUAGUGGAGGUUAACAGAAUGACAGAUGGUGCAUGGUUGUCGUCAGCUCGUGUCGUGAGAUGUUUGGUUAAGUCCUGCAACGAGCGCAACCCCUAUCUUUAGUUACUAACGAGUUAAGUCGAGGACUCUAGAGAUACUGCCUGGGUAACUGGGAGGAAGGCGGGGAUGACGUCAAAUCAUCAUGCCUCUUACGAGUGGGGCAACACACGUGCUACAAUGGUCGGUACAAAGAGAAGCAAUAUGGCGACAUGGAGCAAAUCUCAAAAAGCCGAUCUCAGUUCGGAUUGGAGUCUGCAAUUCGACUCCAUGAAGUCGGAAUCGCUAGUAAUCGCAGAUCAGCUAUGCUGCGGUGAAUACGUUCUCGGGUCUUGUACACACCGCCCGUCACACCAUGGGAGCUGGUAAUACCCAAAGUCGGUUUGCUAACCUCGGAGGCGACC